AUGACUUGGCACACACCCACCAACGACCAACACAGCCCCGGGCCCCACCCACGAUGCACACACACCCACGCCCAACCCACGCACACACACCCACGUUGGAUCCCAUCUCUCUCGUCUUCCUCGAUCCCAUUUCUCCACCCCACGCCGCCGCCAGAUUCCGGCGAUCCCCGCGGUUCCCCACCACCUAGCUCUCCUCCCCGAGGUCACCUCUCCCCGCUCACCAUCUCCACUGUCCGGUUUCUCUCCUCGCCCAGGAGAGCCACGCCCAGGCACUGGUGGUGGUGCGUCGCGAGGAGGCCCCAGCGGCGUCGAGCUGCUGUUGCUGUGGGCACAAAGACGUCGGCGUGGUCAGGAUGGUCGCAGCCCUUCAAGAUUCUCAAUGGCGGCGUCUCGGCGCUGAUGGCGGAGUCGACGGCGAGCAUCGACGGGUACAUGGCGUCGGGAUACCGGAGGGUGGCUGGCGUGCAGCUCUGCAUCAAGCACCUCAAGCCCGCCCGCAUCGGCGACCGCAUCGAGGCCAAGGCGAACCCCAUCCGGUACCUCGAUCCCGACGCGUACUUGGACAUGGACCAGCUGCUGGACGCGGUGCAUUGGAUCCGGUAG
rnacentral:rRNA from 1 species